ACCGGCAUUGCGACAAUGCGGAUGCCGACAGCUCCGAUACCACGGAAUGGUCAGUCGGGGAGCCGGAGUUCAACACAGACCCUGUCACCGUCGCAGUCCCUCUUAUGAAGGAAGGACCAACCUAUUUCUUCUCAGGGAACUAUGAGGGCUACCAAUGUGAGCAUGGGCAACACUUCAAGAUCAAUGUCACUCAUGGACAAGGACUCCCAGACAGCCUCAAGAGCCCCUCCGAGCAGGCACCUG
rnacentral:misc_RNA from 1 species